UGAUUGAACGUGCUUGCACGGACUUGACGUUGGUUUACCAGCGAGUGGCGGACGGGUGAGUAACACGUAGGUAACCUGCCCCAAAGCGGGGGAUAACAUUUGGAAACAGAUGCUAAUACCGCAUAACAAUUUGAAUCGCAUGAUUCAAAUUUAAAAGAUGGCUUCGGCUAUCACUUUGGGAUGGACCUGCGGCGCAUUAGCUUGUUGGUAGGGUAACGGCCUACCAAGGCUGUGAUGCGUAGCCGAGUUGAGAGACUGAUCGGCCACAAUGGAACUGAGACACGGUCCAUACUCCUACGGGAGGCAGCAGUAGGGAAUCUUCCACAAUGGGCGCAAGCCUGAUGGAGCAACACCGCGUGAGUGAAGAAGGGUUUCGGCUCGUAAAGCUCUGUUGUUAGAGAAGAACGUGCGUGAGAGCAACUGUUCACGCAGUGACGGUAUCUAACCAGAAAGUCACGGCUAACUACGUGCCAGCAGCCGCGGUAAUACGUAGGUGGCAAGCGUUAUCCGGAUUUAUUGGGCGUAAAGCGAGCGCAGGCGGUUUGAUAAGUCUGAUGUGAAAGCCUUUGGCUUAACCAAAGAAGUGCAUCGGAAACUGUCAGACUUGAGUGCAGAAGAGGACAGUGG
rnacentral:rRNA from 1 species